CGGUAAUACGUAGGUGGCAAGCGUUAUCCGGGAUUUAUUGGGCGUAAAGCGAGCGCAGGCGGUUUUUUAAGUCUGAUGUGAAAGCCCUCGGCUUAACCGAGGAAGCGCAUCGGAAACUGGGAAACUUGAGUGCAGAAGAGGACAGUGGAACUCCAUGUGUAGCGGUGAAAUGCGUAGAUAUAUGGAAGAACACCAGUGGCGAAGGCGGCUGUCUGGUCUGUAACUGACGCUGAGGCUCGAAAGCAUGGGUAGCGAACAGGAUUAGAUACCCUGGUAGUCCAUGCCGUAAACGAUGAAUGCUAGGUGUUGGAGGGUUUCCGCCCUUCAGUGCCGCAGCUAACGCAUUAAGCAUUCCGCCUGGGGAGUACGACCGCAAGGUUGAAACUCAAAGGAAUUGACGGGGGCCCGCACAAGCGGUGGAGCAUGUGGUUUAAUUCGAAGCAACGCGAAGAACCUUACCAGGUCUUGACAUCUUUUGAUCACCUGAGAGAUCAGGUUUCCCCUUCGGGGGCAAAAUGACAGGUGGUGCAUGGUUGUCGUCAGCUCGUGUCGUGAGAUGUUGGGUUAAGUCCCGCAACGAGCGCAACCCUUAUGACUAGUUGCCAGCAUUUAGUUGGGCACUCUAGUAAGACUGCCGGUGACAAACCGGAGGAAGGUGGGGAUGACGUCAAAUCAUCAUGCCCCUUAUGACCUGGGCUACACACGUGCUACAAUGGAUGGUACAACGAGUUGCGAGACCGCGAGGUCAAGCUAAUCUCUUAAAGCCAUUCUCAGUUCGGACUGUAGGCUGCAACUCGCCUACACGAAGUCGGAAUCGCUAGUAAUCGCGGAUCAGCACGCCGCGGUGAAUACGUUCCCGGGCCUUGUACACACCGCCCGUCACACCAUGAGAGUUUGUAACACCCGAAGCCGGUGGCGUAACC
rnacentral:rRNA from 2 species